rnacentral:lncRNA from 10 species
GGGGCCGCUGCCAGGAGCCUGGAGCGCUGCGUUCCGCGCAGGACGCCGACAGAGUCUCGCUCUGUCGCCCAGGCUGGAGUGGAGUGGAGAAAUCUCAGCUAACUGCAACCUUUGCCUCCUGGGUUCAAGCGAUUCUCCCUGCCUCAGUCUCCGGAGUAGCUGGGAUUAUAGGCGUGCACCACCACACCCGGCUAAUUUUUGUAUUUUUAGUAGAGACUGUUUCACUAUGUUGGGCAGGCUGCUCUUGAACUCCUCAUCUCAAGUGAUCCACCCGCCUUGGCCUCCCAAAGUGCUGGGAUUACAGGCGUGAGCCAUCAUGCACGGCCUGGGGUGAAUCUUUUUAAUGAGCAUUUAUUAUUUGCCGUUCACAAUGCCAAGGGUCAUAAUGAAUGAAAGUGUCUUGGAAUUAGAGUUAGUGGUUGCACACAUUAUAAGUGUAUUAAAGUACACUCCAAAAUAAAAUCCGAACACAUUAAGUGGUUACUCCCAUUCCUCCCUCUCUCAGCCCCU